AUGGAAGGGAAAGGGAAUAAGCUGGUCUUCCAACAGAAUGCCACGAAGUAUGUGGCGGAGCAGGUCACUGGGGCAGAAAUUCCCCGGAGACCCCAAGAGACCGUCAGUGCGUCCCCACAAGAUUCUGCAUCCGAGAACCUGUUUAGAGGCGGGGGCUCCUCUGCGAAGCACCCCCCGCCUCCCAGGCCGCCCGGUGCUUCCGGCGCCGCCCCAGUUUUCUCCAACUGCUGCAAACACCGGGCGCGGGCGGGGUGGUCUGCGCGACGAAGGGAAAUGACCUUCAAGGUCAGAAGCAAACCUUGGUUUCGACCCUCAGCUGGCCACUGCAUCGGAGUCGCUGUCGCUAGUGCCUUACACACACGGCUGACUUUCUCAAUCUCUGGAUCUCUACGUGGCCACGGUGUAAGGCGCUCGGAAGAGAAAUCCCAAGACUGCACUAGAGGAAGAGCGUCUCCUACCCCCUGUGUUCUCCAGGUUUUUGAGUGUCUUUUUGAUAAAGCCUCAUUUCAAUUCCCCUUUUCCUGCCUCCUCUGCUCACUUUCGUCCAUUUCUUUUGAUCCUGGUUUCCUAUGCUGGGAUCACAGUGCAGUGGCUGGCUAAGGAGGCUUAGGCAAUGAGAAAGUGUUGUAUCUCCUCAAGGUGUUCCCCACGGUGGGUAAUGGGAGAAACGGUCACCGUCCUUCUGAGUCAUCUGGACGUGGCUACAAUCACACUUACAAUUCUACUAUUGCUACACUAUUUGGAGCCUGGAAAAUUUCCCCACAUGUGUUGUUACGACAUUACAGUUAACUCCUGCAAGGUCUCCCAAUUAAUAGGGGACACUUGUGAUCCAUUAAACAUAACCAAGAUAUCCACUGCUAUUUGAAAAAAUUGGUAAUUGGGGGUCUUAUCUAAUCUAUCACAAUUUGGAGCCUAACUUGUUUCAUGUUUCUCCUUUUGCAUGUGCUGAUGCAUGUACCAUUUGCUGGCCAUCGUGCCCCCCUGGAGCCAUACUGCAAGCCCCUGGACCGACUCCUGGAUUGAUUCCAACUGCCUCAUAGCCCACCGCCCCAUUUCAGCAGGAAGCAGCCAGAGUUGUCAUGCUCUGGUCCCUGAAGGCAGUCCUUACUAUUCCAGGGGGAGGGAGGAGGGAGGAUCAGGUGGGGCUAGGUAGGGAGAGAUAGAAAGGGGGCUAUGUGAUCAGGCUCACAGAAAUCCCAAAAAAGUGGAGGUGUGGGGAAACCACAGGGAAGAGGACAAACCGGACCACCCUACCCUAAGGGUGUGAGGUGGGUAGUGUCUCUACAGAUAACCACUGUGACCAACAAAGAAUAACCAGGCCCUAAAAAGGAAGUAAGCCAUGGAAGGUGUUAUCAAUAGAGAUGUUAAAAGGAUUUAAGUUCCCUGAUUAGCUUUCUAGAAAAGACAAACCCUAAAGGCCCUCAUUGGCAACCCAGUUAGGACCCCUCUCACUCUUGAGAGCUUUUUCUGUAUCUUCACUUAAUAAACUUCUAUCACUGUAGUAAAAUAAAUAAAUNNNNNNNNNNNNNNNNNNNNNNNNNNNNNNNNNNNNNNNNNNN
rnacentral:lncRNA from 1 species